rnacentral:rRNA from 1 species
ACGGACGCUGGCGGCGUGCUUAACACAUGCAAGUCGAACGAGGUCCAUGCAGUCGCACGACUGCGGAAGAUCUAGUGGCGCACGGGUGCGUAACACGUGAGAAACCUGUCCCGGUCUCUGGAAUAACAAGUGGAAACACUUGCUAAUACCGGAUGCCGUCGGACCAUCGCAUGAUGGACUGACGAAAGGGCUACCGGAUCGGGAGGGUCUCGCGGCCUAUCAGCUUGUUGGUGAGGUAACGGCUCACCAAGGCAUCGACGGGUAGCUGGUCUGAGAGGAUGAUCAGCCACACUGGGACUGAGACACGGCCCAGACUCCUACGGGAGGCAGCAGUGGGGAAUCUUGCACAAUGGGCGAAAGCCUGAUGCAGCAACGCCGCGUGCGGGAAGAAGGCCCUAGGGUUGUAAACCGCUUUCAGCAGGGAAGAAACUGACGGUACCUGUAGAAGAAGGUGCGGCCAACUACGUG